rfam:Pseudomonas lutea strain DSM 17257 Contig003, whole genome shotgun sequence.
CAUCGGGGCUUUGCCUUGACUGGGGGCGGGAUCCUCUUUAGACUCUUGUACCCCUAAAUCUGGCGGGACGCUUGUCCUGCCAUUUUGCUUUUCUUGUAAGACAAUAGCGUCGCAAGACAACAGUGGAGCUAGUAGA